UCCCGUUGAUCCUGCGGGAGGUUGCUGCUAUUAGGGUUCGAUUUAGCCAUGCAAGUCAAGGGGCUUCUUCGGAAGCACCGGCAGACCGCUCAGUAACACGUCGAUAAUCUGCCCUUAGGUCAGGGAUAACCUUGAGAAAUUGAGGCUAACACCUGAUAGGAAAUAUUUUCUGGAAUGAGAUAUUUCUUAAACUCGUGCCUAAGGAUGAGUCGGCGGCUGAUUAGACUGUUGGCGGGGUAAUGGCCCACCAAAUCUAUGAUCAGUACGGGCCUUGAGAGAGGUAGCCCGGAGAGGGGUACUGAGAAACUGAUCCCAGCCCUACGGGGUGCAGCAGGCGCGGAACCUUUACAAUGCACGAAAGUGUGAUAAGGGAACCCUAAGUGCUAUAGUUAUGCUAUGGCUUUUGUUGAAAGUAAAUAUUUCGACGAAUAAGCGGUGGGUAAGACUGGUGCCAGCCGCCGCGGUAACACCAGCGCCGCAAGUAGUGACCACGUUUAUUGGGCCUAAAGCGUUCGUAGCCGGUUUGGUAAAUCUUUUGUGAAAUCGUAGGGCUUAACUCUACGGCAUGCAGAAGACACUGCUGAACUAGAGACCGGGAGGAGUCGGAGGUAUUCUGAGGGGAGCGGUAAAAUGCGAUAAUCCUUAGAGGACCACCUGUGGCGAAGGCGUCCGACCAGAACGGUUCUGACGGUGAGGAACGAAAGCUAGGGGAGCGAUUCGGAUUAGAUACCCGUGUAGUCCUAGCCGUAAACGUUGCGAGUUAGGUGUUGCAUUAUCUUCGAGAUGGUGCAGUAUCGAAGCGAAGGCGUUAAACUCGCCGCCUGGGAAGUAUAGUCGCAAGACCGAAACUUAAAGGAAUUGGCGGGGGAGCACUACAAGGGGUGCGGCGUGCAGUUUAAUCUAACUCCACACAGAGAAUCUCACCAGCAGCGACAGCAAGAUGAAAGUCAGAUUGAAGGUCUUACUUAAUGCGCUGAGAGGUGGUGCAUGGCCGCCGUCAGCUCGUGCCGUGAGGUGUCCGGUUAAGUCCGGUAACGAGCGAGAUCUGUAUCUACAAUUGCUAGCGAGUUCUUCGGAAUGAUCGUGCACAUUGUAGAGACUGCCUUCGAAAGGAGGAGGAAGGUGCAGGCUACGGUAGGUCUGUAUGCCCCGAAUCUGCUGGGCUACAUGCGCGCAACAAUGGCUAAGACAAUGGGAUGCAACUUCGAAAGAAGAAGCUAAUCCUCGAAACUUAGUCUAAGUUCAGAUUGAGGUUUGUAACUCAGCCUCAUGACGAUGGAAUCCCUAGUAAACAGAGUUUAUCAGAUUCUGUUGAAUAUGUCCCUGCUCCUUGCACACACCGCCCGUCAAACCAACCGAGCAGGGUUUGGGUGAGCUUUAGUUUUUUUGAUUGAAGCGAACCUAAGCUCAGUGAGGUGGGUUAAGUCGUCACAAGGUA
rnacentral:rRNA from 1 species